UACGUAGGGGGCAAGCGUUGUCCGGAAUCAUUGGGCGUAAAGAGCGUGUAGGCGGUCCGGUAAGUCGGCUGUGAAAGUCCAGGGCUCAACCCCGGACUUGCAGUGGGUACGGGCAGACUAGAGUGUGGUAGGGGAGACUGGAAUUCCUGGUGUAGCGGUGAAAUGCGCAGAUAUCAGGAGGAACACCGAUGGCGAAGGCAGGUCUCUGGGCCACUACUGACGCUGAGAAGCGAAAGCAUGGGGAGCGAACAGG
rnacentral:rRNA from 1 species